CCCUCCUCUUUCUCCAAUUCUUGUAAGCCAUGGCGGAUCCACACCCAGAUGGAGGCUUUGAUUUGAAUAAAGAUGCUGUUGGGCUUGAUCUUAAUGUUCCAGUACUUGAAGAGGAUGCUAGGGAGGUGCAGCGACUACCUGCUGUAGAGGUUUAUCUACACAACCCGAUUGACUGGGAUGAGCUGCAAGAAGAUCUCUUUGAUUUGAGUAACCCCAUAUAUUUUCAGAGAUUUGCUCCCUAUCAAUUGAUUGAGAUUUUGCUUUUAUGUCAAUCAACAUGGAGAGGCGUCGGAUCGGCGACGAAGGGAACAGAUCGACUUGUGUGUAGGGUCCGCUUCCGCGAUCCGUUUACUUCCUUAUCGGGUAUUUGGAUCCCGUGAUGAGCAAAGGAGUUGAAGGUGGGGGAAGCAGUGCCGCGUCGGCUUUGCAGUGGCAACGACGUGGGUUCCGUGAGGCACGGCGAGAUCCCCGCACAGCGGUGGAUCCGCAGACCGCGGAUGUCGGUGCAUGAUCCACGGUGGCCUCGGCAAAGGAAGAUUGCAGUGGUGGUGCGGCUUCCCGGCAAGGGGUGAUGGCGUGUCUCCCUGGCGGGCGAGCGUGGGUUCCCCAUGGCGUUAAGUGCCUAAAACUUUACCCCUCAUUUCCUCCCUUUACUGAAUCUUCUCCUUCUGUUUCUUUGUUAAUUUUGCUUCCUAUGAACUGUGUGUGUGAUGCUUCAUUGGUUGCGAGUUCCUAUGGUAGGAAAUGUGAUUUUCUGGAUUUGAUGGUUUGGGAGGAGAUCGAGGUGAUGGGAGAAUCUUGUUCACUCAAAUCUGGUUUGCUGAAUUAAGAAAAAAAAUGUUUAGGAUGAAGGACAAAAGCCACAAAGGAAAAUGCGCAUGAGUAUUAACUAUGCAUGUCCAUGACUUUGGAUGAAGUUUCUACUCUAGUCUUCAGUAACCAUGCUUGUGUGAGUGAUUGUUUGAUUACUUGCUCGCUGCAGCCAUCUCUGAACUCUUGCUUUGUGCUUAAGUAAUAAAAAUAGCAUGAAUGAGCUGACUGUACUACACGUAUUUUAAAAUCUGAUUGUUUUUGUGAUCAUGCUGUAAAUUCAGUAACUUUCUUCUUCUUUUUUGUAUUUGUUGGUUUUAACAAAAUAUUGCAUUAUUUUCACCCAGAGUCAUCUUAUUAUGCUUAGAUAGAGUGUAAUCUUAUUUUAUCUUUUAACAAAUCUGCAUGGAAGAUUUUUACAGUAUCAAUUCUUUUUUCAUGUAUGAGCUCGCCUUUUCUUUUAGUACUUGUAUCAUGUGUCUUUAUUAGACCAUUCUUUAGAAGCUUAGCUGCCACUCAAAAAAAAAAAAGAACUCACUAGUAGUGUAUAUGAAAUAACACAUUCUGUAAUUUUUUUAUUUAUUAUUCAGCUACCACUUGAAAAAACAUGUGUGUGUGUGUGUGAAGUAGCGGAUGAUUUAACCCAUGCAAGUAGUUUAUACUUUUGAACUUUUGAAGCAUGUAUCCAAAUCCCAAGUGGCAGCUAAGAUUCCUUAUAGUUUUAGUUUUCGAUGUUCUAAGCUGUUAUUUCAUAUGUAUUAUAUUAUUAUUAAGGCAUGUCUUGCUCUAGGAAUAUAAUAUAACUGCCAUGCCAUUUCUUGAGUGUAUACACUAUUACUCUUAACGCGAGUAAUUUAUCAUUUCACCUGAAUUGAAUUAUAUACCACAAAAGGUUUUGUGUGUGUGUUGCUUUGUGAGAUUGAAUAUGUUUAUUGAUAGAUGUGCUUUUUUAUUUUAGGACUUACCAAACUAUAUAUAUUCAAACACAUCAACAUGUUGCUUAAUUGACAUCUGUUUGUUACUAUGAAUGUUUUUUUGAAUUGAAAAGAUAUAGUCUACACCUUCUCAUUAAGGAUAAGAUGAUGCAGAAUGUGGUAGGACUAGGAGGUCACAUGCCAGUAACUUGAGGCCAGUCAGUAGCAGCAUGGAGUCAAUAAGCAGUAUUAUAAUCUCUAGCAAAAUUUUAUUGUUAAUUGACAAGACUUCUCUUAGCUGUAAGUCAAAUUAUGCCAUAUUUACUUGAAGGUUAGUUUUCAGACUUGUGGACAUUGCCUGGUUACCGUAGAAAUCAUGGUUUGAUUGUUUGGUGUUAUCUCAUAAACAGAUAGGCAUUUGUGGACAUCAUCGUAGAGAGCCUUUGUCAAUUUCUCUCUACACAAAGAUUGUGAAGGUUUCUUGCUCCCUUUUCAGGUAGGUCAAAUGAUUAACUCAUAAUCUAACUCGAAGAAUAUCUCAUUUGCGGAAACUCUAUUAUGUUAGUUGUAGUUGUAGCAAAUCUUAGCUUAGUUUUUUCUUAAAUAUCUUCUAUAGGGUUUUGAUUGUGACAGCUACAGUUUAGGAGGUGUAUCUAUGGACGUCAUCUUGUCAGCCACCAGAUGCCCAGAAUGUUUGCUGUUGGUGUAUCAACAAAUAAUAACACAAACCCAUAUAAUUGGUAAACUUGCUGCCUAUUAUGUAGUCUCAUUGAAUGUGCAUAUGCCACCCAAAACUUUUAAAUGUAAUUUUUCUAUUUAUUGUUUUUGUUUUGCUAUUUUUUUUUACUCAAGAUGAGAAAAAUACACAGACAACUUUUUAUUUGUUCUAUUUUGGGGAUUUUUGUAUGUAUUUUAGUUGUAGAAAAAUAAAACAAUUGUGGCUGAUAUAUGUAGUCUCCUUGUAUGUUCGUAUUUGGCCCCAAAAAUUUUAGGUGUAAUUUUUUAUUUUUUUGUGUUUAUUUUGCUAUUCUUUUGUUUGUACUCAAGUUGACAAAAACAAAGAUACAAAAUAGUAGUCACUGGGCUUAAUGCUUGUACUGGGCCGGUAACAACAAAUGCAACAUUUUUAGCAGAACUCCAACAGGGACAAAAAUUACCAGGUCUAAUAGCGAGGGCGCCCAAUAGACUGUUUGAUGGCUGUGUAAUAGUCAUAUUCAGACCCGGUAACAGCAGAAAAGAAACACAAAAGCUUGCUAGGAUACGUACAACGUGGAUGAAGAAUCACUGGUCCAGGCCGGUGAUUGACAGAUAUGUAUAUAUCAAUCGAUUGACUGGAGACACUCCCAUAUUUUCAUGCCCCUGAAGAAGGAGAUGAACAGCAUGACUUCCAGGACACUGAAGGAGAGGACAUACAAGAUGUACAUCAAACGACGAUGGAGAUGUACCAUCGAAUUUGCCUUUCCUGAAUCAGAGUGCAAAUGCCCAAAGAGAUGUUCUACCUGAUCUAAAUAUAAUGCCUGGUUUAGAAGAUGAUACUAGUGGCUUUGAUCCUGAUAUUGUUCAAGAUAACAGCAGCAACAGCACUUGUCCAGUUAGUACGAGAAAAAGAAAGCAAUAUAGUGAUGAUACAAAGCGAGCUGUAUACGCCAUGCUGUUACAGGGAUCAGAGCAAGGCCGUUUGCCAGAAGGGUUAUUGUUGCAAGUGUCUUUGGUUAUGGAUGUGUCUCUCAUCAGUGCAACGUAUAUGGCUACAAGGGCAAAAAGGGGGAGGAAUUCAUGCUGUGGAUGGGUAGUGAAGCUAGAUGGACGAGAGCUUGCGCUGCCUGUUCAUCCUCCUUCGUGCGAACCGGUAGCUUGACAUCAUCCUCAACAACGAGCAUCUUGUCGCCGAUCUCAUCGCCAUUGCUGCCGGAGCGGAGGACCUCGUCGUCGUUGCCGUCGGAGUGGAUGACCUCGUCGCCGUUGCCGUCGGACCGGAGGACCUCGUCGCCGUCGCUGUUGCCAUCAGAGCGAAUGAUCUGGUCGCCAUUGCCGCCGUAGUGGACGAUCUCAUCGCCGUUGGAGCAAACUUCAGCUCCGGCGGAGGCGCUAGCCAUGGAAGCAGAAAAGAAAAAAAGCUAGGUGGACUGGAUGCAGAGGGCCGGGAUUUAUAUGCAUUCGUGGGCUGUUCAUUUUCCGUGGGCCAAUUCAUUCCGCGAUUAAAUGAGCAGAGAGUACCGAGACACACCGACGCGGCGAUGCCCUACAAAAACGAAAAAGCAGAAAACGGACGGGCGCUUAAUAAACGAGAACGGAGGGAGUAGCUGAUAGGAUCAGGGGCAGAACGGGUAGUUCAAGUAUCUAAUAAAGGAAAAUAUAAGUGAAAUUCGUGAAACUGAGGAAAAAAAGUUGAAAUCCCCUGUUUAGAAAGAAUUCGCGUGUCAUAUUUUGAAAGGCUCGCGAAUUUAAUGUCAAA